rnacentral:lncRNA from 1 species
UGAUUUAAAAGUGUCAUCAAUAAAUAAACAUUGCUCUCACUUCUAUGAUCCAACAAGCAAGAAAAAACUUGAAACAAACUUCGAAUAUCAUUCAAUUCCAUCAAAGCUAAUCAAAACUUGAAACAAGAAUAGCUAUGUUGCAUCUCUGGUUCUUUUCGACCCUGCCACAUCAUGUUUUUGUUACACUUGUUAAAAUAGCUAUGCUGCAUCUCAGUAGGAAAUUUGAAUUGAAACAAAAACAAGCACACAAGCCAAAGCUACACAACAAUCCACCAAACAACUUCUCUAAGAAAAAUGAAAAUCAGGCAUACGAAACCAAAAUCUGCUACUGUGCCCCCAAAUUCUGGAAUUAGAGAUGCAGUCGAGGGAGAAGGGGAAUUAGGGCUCAAGAAGGAUAAAAAAGGGGUCUUGAAGGAUUAAUGAUGGGUGUCAGGACGGCGGAGAGCCGCGACCGGAGCUGGGCAGUAGAACGACGGCGGUGUCAGGACGGCGGCGGCAGGUGGUUCCCGUCGUUCGACCGCAUGCAAGAAAAAGAAGGAUGCCGCAGCCACGCCUCUUGUAAGUGGUCGUCCGACCGAGAGAGUUGGUGGUAUUGGUGGUGAGAGAGAGAGAGGUGGGCGCUGGUUUACCUGGUAUUUGCUGCUCUGCGGAGGUGGCGCCGAUGCGAGAGGAGGCGGUAAGACGCUGGCUGUUCGGUGAUGGAGGAAGGCAGACGAGACGGCGACGAUUCUGUCCAUGAGUCGUUAGAGAAGAGAAGGAGAAGAUGUCGUUGGGCCCCGGCGGCGGCGGCCGCAGUGCUGCUGUCGUUUGGUUUAGAGAGAGAACCUUCUGAAAUUAGGGGGGGAGAUUUGGGGGGUUUUGAGUGAAGUGGUGGAAGGUAGUGGAGAUGGUGACUGCGGCGGAUUUAAGGAGAUAGAAGAAAAGGGUAGGUUUCCAGGAUUUUUUUUAUAUGAUGGUUCCGGAUCCGGGUUGGAUCGCACCAAGAUCCGCGCGCAUGGGGUGAGCGCUCAAUUUGUGAGGCGCGCAUUUAAGUUUUUGUGAUAAGAAAAAUAUAACUGCGCUUUUUUCCUUUACAAGUUUUCAGUAUUUACACUUUUAAAUUAUAUCUUAAAUGGAAGCUUAGGGUUGAAACUAGCAAAGGCAGAGUAGAAAUAUUGACAUUUUCGGAAAUAUUUAAGUUAUAUAUUGAUUCGACAUAUUCCUACUCUUGACCUAUGAAUAUGAAAUGAAAAGAAAUAGUCACUCAUUUCCACUCUUACACCAACAUGGAAUCCUAUACGAUUUGUGAGCUAUUUUACCCCCUGCCCUGGCCCCACGUGUUAUGUUUUAGGGUUGAUGGAUUAUUUGACCCCAUUUGAACUUCUCCUUAUCAUUUACUCGAUCACAUAACGAUGUGCAUUUAUUUACUAUCUAUAAAUUAUUACUUUUAUAUGUGUGUGAUAUUACAAAAACAAUAGUACAUGUGUGACUAUGCCGGUUGACUUAUUAUCAUGAAUAGAUAAGGGUGUGCAUUCAGUUAUAUGAUUCGAUUUUUGUUAAAAUUAAAUUAAAUCAUACUUUUUCCGUCACAAUCAAGAUGCUACAUAUUUUUUUUUCUGGGCUCCCAACGAAGAUGCUAUAUUUCUAAAUAUGGAAAACAUAAGAUUUUAAUUGCACAAUUAAAUUAAUUAAUCAUCUCUUAUUACUUCUCUCUCCUACAUUAUCACUUUAUUACUUUUUUCUUCCACUUUAUACUUUUAUCUACAAUUUAAAACAUAAUCUACAACUCCUUAAAUUCGUGUCGAAAAGAAAUGUAUCAUCUUAGCUGGAUAAGGGAUAUUUUUUUUCGGUUAAAAAAACAAAACAAAAUCGAACCGAAUUAACCAAAUUAAAUUAAUCAAAAUUUUUAUAAUUAAAAUAAAAUGAACCGAAAAACGAAUUAAUCCAGAAAAAAAAUUGAAAAAAUGAAAAUUCCGAAAAAAUAACUAAUACUCCCUCCGUCCCAAACGAAAUGUCCUCCUUCUUUUGGGCACGCUUAUUAAGGAGGCAUUAUCUACCUAAUCUAGUAGAAUAUUAUAGUACUCCAUCCGUCCCAACUUUUAGUAUCCAACUUUCCUUUUUUGGCCGUCCCACAUUUUGGUAUCCAUUUCUAUUUUUAGUAAAAGUAGGUGGGGCCCUUACUCCACUUUAAUUAUUUUAACUCUCACAUAAAAUGUGGGACCCUUAUUCCACUCACAACACAUCAAUCACUUUAUUAAAAUCCGUGCCGUUCUCAACUGGAUACCAAAAGCCGGGACGAAUGGAGUAUAUUUUAUCAUUAUCCAUCAUUCAUUUUAAGAACAUACAUAUAUACAUAACAACCUAAUAAUUAAAAUUUACAAUUAGGGUUAGAAGAUUAAAAAUUUAGAAGUUAGAUAUUAUAAAAUUCUAAUUAAAUAUGUUAAAAUUUAUAAUAUUUAUAUAUAUGCACUCCAAUGAGACCCCUUAAUUUUCGUGUAACAUGAAGCACGAUCUGGUGCGUUUAUUUUAUCAAUUCUAUGGCUGAUAUUGUAUCUGGAGGGAGAUUUUUUUUCGCAGGCUUCGAAUCCUGGAGGGAGCAGAAUAUUUUAAAUUUUGUUAUUCAUCAGUAUAUACUGCCUUAUUCAUCAGUAUAUAUGUCUUAUUCAUUACCAAUUUUUUAAAUUUAUUUUUCAUCAGUAUAUAUAUUUUGUUCAUUAGUAUUAUAUGUCUUAUUCAUUCUCCUCAUGUUACACGAAAAAUAGGGAGUCUCACUGGAGCGCGCUCCUAUAUAUAUAUANAUCCUGUUGCUGUCGCCGGCGAGCGGCGCCGAGAAGAGAGGGAGAUGCAUGGACUCUAGCAGGCGGCAUCGCUAGGAAAGAAGAGAGAGAUGGAGAACGAGAGAUCGAGGAUGAGAGAAGAGAGUGGAGAAAGGAAACAGUGGUUUUUUUAUAUAUAUAUCGGGUCAAAUGACCCGGUUCUCUUUGUUCGACCCGACCCAAGCCCGCGCGCAUAUUGUGAGCGCACAAUUAUAACGGCGCUCAUAUAAGUUUUUGUGAAACUCUUUUACUGUCAAUGGUUGUGUUGGUUUGUCUUAAGUUUUAAAAUAGCCUAUAGGUGUAUUUCCCCCCCCCCCAUACACCUAUUCCAGAGCUUCCGGGACCUAACAACUAGUAUUGAAAAAUUUUGUUUGUGUCAUACAAAAUACCGUAAUCAUUGACAUAGUGAUUAACAAUGGUUGAAAUCAGCGUACUGUACACUGACAGCUAAAUUGACAGGAGCCAUUUAAUUGAAAUCCUUGUAUAUUUGCGCAAAUUCAACGUGUAGAAUAGACUAAUUUGGCGCAAAAAUAUAAUUAACGCAAAAAUGUAUUUUAAAUAUUGAUUUGCGCAAUUUUCUCGUUCCUCAAUUUGUGCAAAAAUGCAAUUUACACAAAUUCGAGCACUUUUCAGAAUUUUCGCAAAAUUCCAUUAUUUCCGCAAAUUAAUUCUAGUAAUUCCGCAAUAAUUUAACAAUUCACGCAAACUUUGGAAUUCUGAAAAUUAAUAGUUCAAUUUCACGCAAUAGGAAUAAUUUGACUCAAAAUAAUAAUAAAGUUCACGCAAAAACCUUGCAAUUGUACACGCAAAAAAAGUUCCACGCAAUAAUUUCACAAUUCACGCAAAAAAAAAAAAUUAAUUUUACAAUUCACGCAUAAUACUUUCACAAUUCAAGCAAAAAUAUAAAUUUAACAAUGUAAUUGAGGCACCAUUUCAUACACAAUUCAUGCAAAAAUAUAACAAUGAAAACACAAUUUUGCGUUAAUUUUGCAUACACAUUUCACGCAAAAAUAUAAAAUUGAAAUUAGUACAACACAUAUUAAUACAAGUCUGAAAUGUGUGUUGGUGAAUUUACGCAACAAUGUUCAAUUCACGCAAAAAUUGACAAAUUAUACAUAUCACGCAAAAAUGUAAAUUUAAUGUAAAUAAAUUCGGUCAACAUAAAUAAAGCAUAUUCAAACUGACAAAUUCAGAAGCACAAAUAUUUAGGGCACAGAUGCUUGUACCAAAUAUUAAUAAAAAAAUGAAAUAGUUAUGAGAGGUAUUGAAUUUAAAAAGUGGGUAUUGUGUGAAUAUAAUUUGAGAAAGUUAGGUACUUUCAUAUAUUACCACAUAAUUAUAGAUUAAAAAUAUAAGUAAGCACUGUUGAUGUUAUGAGAUUAAAAUAAAAAAUAAAACUGAAAAUGUAUUAUAUGUGUCUAUAUAAGUAUAACUAUGUUAAAAAAAAUUAUCGAUCAAAAAAUAAAUAUAUGACUUUAAGUUAUUUAAAAUAUUUAAAUGAUAAAAUAUGAUAAUUAUAUAUAUAUAUAUAUAUAUAUAUAUAUAUAUAUAUAGUGUGNNNNNNNNNNNNNNNNNNUCCUACUACUAUAUAUAUAUAUAUAUAUAUAUAUAUAUAUAUGUAAUAUAUAUAUAUGUGUUAUCAGUUUAAUAUUAGAACCUCACAAUAAAUUUAAGUAGUCAUUUAUUUACGUUGUCGAAAUGUAUUUGUUGAAGUUUAUUUUGAGCCGAUUCUUGAUUGAAAAAGAUAAUGACUUGAAUUGUAUAUAUACCAAUAGUUGAAAUAAAGUAACUAACUAUCCUUAAUAUUAAUAUGUAUUUAAAUGGAGUGAUUAUGAGAUUUUAUAUAAAAAUAUAAAAAAAGUAUAUUUUUAUUGUAUUUAUAAUUUUUUAUAUAAUAAUUGAGUUAAUAUCUAUUUUAUAUAUAAAAAGAAGGGUAAAUAUCUGUUUCUGACUUAUUGGUUGGGCAUUUUCUCAAAAAUGUCCUACCCUAAAGAUAAUUACAAAAUCAUACCAUCGUUCCAUUUUUUUCCUUGUUUAUGGCCUGCAAAAAUAAUUCGACGAUCGAUAUUUGACAUAACCAAUUGUCACGUUGUUAGUACACGUGUAAUACUAAUAAUAUAAAAAAACAACAUAAAUUCCACAUAGAAAAAACGCAUCUAUACGUAAAGGAAUAGACUUGAACACACAAAAACGUUUUCUCAAGAGAACCCUAUCACUGGCGGAUCUAGCAUGGUGCAUGGGGGUGCAACUGCAUCCCAAAAAAAAAAAAUUAAUAGUAUUAAUAUUCAUAUAUAAAUUAUUUUAUAUUUAAGGUUUGCACCCCAAAUAAAAGUUUUAAUCCUAAAUUCAGUUUUUAAAAUCCUAAAUUCCAUUGGCCCAACUAAAAAGAGAGCCAAUCAUCUCUUUCUUUUUCAUUCUUUUGAUCGAGCCCAUCAGUUAAUCAAUCCUUUACCUCAAUUCUUAAUUAAAUAAAAAAAAUUGAACCUACAUAUUUUGUAUUUGGAAUGCAGAGUUAUUACUAAUUGUAUUUGUAUUUUAGUAAAAAAAAAAACAAAAAAUGUCUAAAAUGUACUGAAGGCCUAAAAAAAAAAUCCCGGGGGCUACCGCCCCCGAACCCCCGUAAAAGUUCAACCCCCUCAAAAAAAUCCUAGAUCCGUCAGUAUUUAUAAGAUUAUUUUUUGCACCCCCAGUUUUUUAAUCUUGGAUCCGCCACUGAACCCUAUUACCAUUCCACCUACUAAGAAUCUCAAUCGUUCUAAAGUAUUCCUCAUUCACCUGUAGAUAUUUAAUGAACACUAGUAACUAACAUUGGCAUAAUGAAACAUUGACAUAUUAUAUGAGUUUGGAGAUGAAAUAUAUAAUCAAUAAAAUAGGGUUGUAGGAGUUGCACUAACAAAACCCUGAAUUACCUCACCAUCAACUAUUAUCUCAAUCAUCCUUGGCAACAUAAUGUUGUUCUUGAAAAAUUUAGCCAGUUUUGAUUCAAUUGCCUGAUAAAUUGCAUGAACAAGAACUUAAUGAAAUCUACUGUAGGGGCAUGUCGAGGCCCGUCGUCAAGACCUCAGGUAAAAUGAUAUUUGUAAUUUAUUGUGCGCUGCAAUCAAAAUCAGUUAAUGGCAAGUAUAAGGUCGAACCCGCAAAGAGUCGGUGUAUCUUGGUACUCCGUAUCACAAAAGUUGAUGGAAUGCACUUUGGUCUAAGUGUCAGGAUUAUGGUCUAGAACAUAAUGUACACUUUGAUUGUAUAUGAAAAACUGAAAUAAAACACAACAAAAUAUCAAUAAUAAACGAAACAUGGUUUGAGCAUAGUCUAGUUAGGUAUGGGUGUAUUUUCGAUCAUCGGUUCAAGGAUAUUCACAGCGCCUUCAUGUCAUUGGUUAUGAGCCGUUUGAUUAGUGGGAUGUGCCCCCAUUGUCACAUUAUCACGAACACAAGCUUAAUCAACCCUUAUCCGCGCCCUUCGUAUUGGGUGAAAGUGGUCUACUUUCAUCCCUCUGCCUUGGUAGAUUCCCUGCAUCAAAACUUGAGUUUGCGGGUAUGCCCAGAACGCAUUACUAAGUAGCAUACUCAAAUGGUCACAGGCAUGCUCAGAGGCAUACUACCACCGCCCGCAUCAGCCACACUUCACGGAAUGGGAGAUCUCCACACUUUUGCCUGCGUACUGUUUGUAACUUGGUUUUGCCCAAUCACAAUUGAUUUUACCAUCUGGGCAAAAUUCACAAUUGAUCUUAAUUCUUAAGCAAUCACAAUUGAUUUUACCAUCUGGAAAAAUUUCACAAUUGACAAAAUUCAAAUCUUAAUUCUUAGAAUUUUGACCAAGAAGAGGUUAGGUUUGUCUUAGCUUACAUUAUCGUUGAUGAGCAUCCAUUUAAGUAUGUCGAAAGAGAGGGAUUUCAAUACUUUGUUUCUAAGGCUUGCCCAAGAUUUAAGAUCCCAUCUAGAUGUACCGUUUCACAUGAUUGCUUUAAGUUGUAUGAGAAUGAAAAGAAUUUGUUUAUGACAAUACUAAAAUCCACCAACCAAAGGGUUUGUCUUACCACAGAUACAUGGACAUCUACUAAGAAAGAGAAUUACAUGUGUUUGACUGAUAAUGAUUGGAAACUGCAUAAAAAGAUUAUUAAUUUUUGUCUAAGUUCUAGUCACAGAGGUAGAGACAUUGGUUGGAAAUUUGAAAAAUGCUUGCAUGAUUGGGGAUUGGAGAGGGUGUUCACUAUUACAGUUGAUAAUGCUUCCUCAAAUGAUGUUACAAUUGGUUAUUUGAAAGAAAUUGUUAGUCAAUAGGAGGAAAAACAUUAGAAACUGUGAUCAUAUGCAUAUGAGAUGUAUUGCUCAUGUAUUUAAUUUAGUGGUGCAAGGUGAUCUUAAAUAGAUUGGAUCUUCUGUGAAAAAAAAUUAGAAAUGUUGUUCGGUUUGUUAGACAUUCUGGUGCUAGAUUGCUUAUGUUCAAGGAAUAUUGUGAGCUGGAAAAAAAAUUUAAGUAAGAGUUUGUUGUGUUUAGAUGUUCCUAUUAGAUGGAACUCGACAUACUUGAUGUUGAAGGCUGCAAUAACAUUUGAGAAAGCAUUUGCUAGAUUUGAUGUGUUAUACCCGACAUAUGGAAUUGAUCUUGUAUGUUAGGAGGGGGUACCUAACAAAGCUGAUUGGGUGAAAGCAAGAAAGAUGCUCAAUUUUUUUGACAUUUUAUCAUGAUGGAAAACGAAUGAAUCUAAAUAUCCCGUUCUCUCCAAAGUGGCUCGUGAUGUUUUGGCAGUACCUGUCUCAACUGUAGCGUCAGAGGCAGCAUUUAGCACUGGAGGAUGAGUACUUGACCCAUUUAGGAGUUUGUUAAGUCCUAAAGUUGUGGAGUUUCUCAUUUGUGGUCAAGAUUGGCUUCACAACUCCUACCCCAAUUGAUGUUGAGGAACUUUAUGAAGAUGUCCAAAAAAUUGAACAAAGUAUAUGACUAUUUAAACUACAUUUUUUUAUAUGUUUUCAAAUUUACGAUUCUCAAUUAAUUUGUAUUAUUGUUAUGUAUAAUUCUAUUUUUUUUAUUAUUUGUGAGUAUGCAAAUUUGAUAGUGCAAGCUCCAACAAAUUAAUCAAUCUCCAUUAAUUGUUGGAACUUGAAAGCUAUUGAAGAUGAUUAGAUGAAUGUUUAUUGAUUUUGAGUUUUGUUAACAUUGAAAGUUUGGACUCUUUUUUUUGUAGUUUGAUGGUAAUUUGUUGUUGAUUUGAUGGAUAUUUAGAAACUCUUUGGUUUGUUGGUUAUGGAUGUUCUUGUAUUUAUUUUGGUGGAUGUGAUGAAUGGAUUUAAUACUUAUGCAAAUCAUAAUUAUUAGGUUGUUAUAUAUACAUCUUUGUUCUUGAAAUGAAUGAUGAAUAAUGAUAAAAUAUAGUAUAAUAUAAUUUUGAGCAGAUUUUUUUUUAUAUAUAAUUUUUUUCGGUUUUCUUAGAAUUUUUGAUUUUUUUCAGUUUUGUUUUUCGAUUUUUUCGAUUUUUUCAGAUUAAUUCGGUUUUUCAGUUCGAUUCGAUUUUAAUUUUAAAAGUUUCGGUUAAUUCGGUUCGGUUUAUUCGAUUUGGUUUGAUUUUUUUAAACCAAACAUUAAUUUGAUUUGAUUUGGUUUUAGCAAAAAUCAAACCAUAUAACCGAAUGCACAUCCCUAGUCCUUAUCCCUUGUAUAACUGCUGCAAUCUAGUCCUGAAAACUGCCAAUCAGUCUGCAUAAUGCUGGUUGAGAUCAUGCUUCUGAAAAGUAGGAACAAACUAGCCCACUAUCUUUAGGCCAUGAUAAAACCAACUUCCAUUUAUUCGAACGUGACCAACUCCACAAGACACAUUAUUCAUGCACUAAAGAAUAUGAAAACAUAAAAGAUAGGGAAAGAUAAAAUACGUGCAAUUACUACUAGUGAGUUGAAGUACAACUUCAAGACAGACACCCGAAAUAUUAGUUGUAUAUCGAAAAUGUUAAUAACAAAAUGUUAUCAAUAUUUCAUUAAACACUGAUGGAGCCAACAUUGACUCUAACAAAAACAUUAUUCAAAUACACAUUUCCAUGAAAUCUAGAUUAACAGCAACCCCAUAAAUCAACUUCGCCUUCUCGACGCCAGAAGUCAUGAUGCACAUUUUAAUGAUGAAUGUGAACGUCAUUUUAUUCACGCCAAUACCUUGAAAAAUCAUCAAAUUGUUAACCUAAAUCGCUCAUUAAUGUGUGUUCUGAUUAACAGAUUCCAAAUGAACGUGGACAUAUAUAUUAUCAAUAUGUUGGAACAUUAGGGCGGUGUAAUUGAACUCCCAAUAUAAAGUACAAAGGCGAAUCAAUCUGGCGACUAUUACUUGGUCGUUGUGGAGAAUGUUGUGGGUGAUUUUGGCGUGGAUUUGUCAUGCGAAAUUUGGGUUUUUAACUCAAUGCGAAAUUUAUCCUGUAAAAAGAUUGAGUUUUUGGAAAUAAAAUAUCUAGUGUGAUAUUGUUUUAUUCAGUAAAAAACAAAGUUUUAUUGGUGGUGGGAUGUUGAGUCCACCUAGACAAAUUCUGACUUCCACGUCAAUUUUAAAUUUGAGAAUUUAAUUUCAUAGAAAAAUCAUAAUAAAUUGAACUUUUAUAUAUUACUAGCAUUUGCAUCCCGUGCAAUGCACGGGAAAAUAUUUUUUAUUUUUUAUAUUUAUAUAAAAAUUAAUACUAAUUUAAUUAUCAUACUCAUAAAUAUAAUAAAAUUUAAUUUUAACUAAAUAUAUUUGAAUUGAAUAUUAAAAAAUUUAAAAAUAAUAAGAAUUUACAAUUAUAAAAUUUGAUAUUAUGAAAGCAAAAAAAGUAAAAAAUAAAAAAAAUACUAAUAAAAAAUUAAAAAUAUAUUUUUUUUCAAAAAGAUGAGAAAUGCGAGAGAAAAUUAUAAAAUUUUAAUAUUUAAACAAAUUUAAUUUUUACAUUUAAAUCAAAUAUUUACAUAAAACAUAUCAAAUUAAAGCUCUUAUCGUGAUCUUUAAUUUGAUAUGCAUAUUAAAUAUUUUAUAAUUAAUCGAAUUUCACAAUUUUGGUAAGAAAUAAAACAACAAAUAAUAAGUUAAAGAGAUGAAAAAUAAAAAGAAAAAUAUAGUUUAAACAUAAACCUUUAAUUUUAUUAUAACUAAUUUUUNNNNNNNNNNNNNNNNNNNNNNNNNNNNNNNNNNNNNNNNNNNNNNNNNNNNNNNNNNNNNNNNNNNNNNNNNNNNNNNNNNNNNNNNNNNNNNNNNNNNNNNNNNNNNNNNNNNNNNNNNNNNNNNNNNNNNNNNNNNNNNNNNNNNNNNNNNNNNNNNNNNNNNNNNNNNNNNNNNNNNNNNNNNNNNNNACUAAUAUCCCUUAAAUUAUGAACAUUGAUGUUAGCACUUAGCACACCGUGCGUUUACUCGAAUAAAAUACACGAGACACCAAAAUCUCCACAUAUUCCGCAACUAAAACACUAUAAAUUAGUGAAACGUAACAAUUAUUAUCUCUUAUCUAAAAUGAAAAACAAAACAAAGAUCUAGAAGGCCGGUCGGUCAAACCUCAAACUGUUACUCGGAAAUAGUUUGUGAAGUCCAAGUAAUUUUUAGGAAUGUUCACAUUAUGGAUGCACAAUUAUGAUAAAAUAAAUAAAGAUUAUAGAUUUAUCCAAUUUAAAUAAUAAAAGUCAUCAAUAUAUUCAAUUGAGAAUGAUUUAAUAAUAAAAUGAAUAUCUAUAAAUUUAAAGGUCUUGAAUUUAAACACUUUUACAUAUUCAAGCUUAUAAUAUCGAUUUUAAAAAUAAUUUACCCGUCUUGUAUAAUUUACAGACUAUUACACAUAUGUGGUUCAGUCAACACGCCAAAAAUAGUGGUUGCAGUUUCCUUAAAAAUAAAAAGAAAUCUCAAAUCUCAAUUCCUUGUGUUUUAAUUUGAUUUUAUAUUUUACAGUUAUUAGAAUGGCAAAUGCAUGUAUCCAUUAAUUUAUUGAGUAAAUUAAAUGUAUAAAUAUUUUUAUACAUAUAGUGGCCUGGUGGAAUAAGAGAAAAAUGUUUAGAGCUCCUCUAUCUUUUUUAUAUUUAUAUGAGAUGGAUUAUUAUAUACAAAUUCAUAGGAUUUGCUUUCAUAUUCGUGGCCGAAGGCUCGAAGCCUACCCCGACCUCCGCCACUACAUAUACAUUUAUUUUGUUUAAAUGAUGAAAACAAAUUAUGCUAUUGUCAAUUCAAGUCAAGUUUGUUUCGGUUCUAUCUCACAAAAGUAGCUAGAAAUUAUGGAUCAAGUAUAACCUUUUAAAUAAUAAUCUUGAAGAUAGAUUUUAUGUGACAAUAUUAAAUCCAACUCGAACUCGAUGAUAGUAAUAACUAAUAAAAGAACAUAAAAUGAUCAAUUUACUAGAUUUUGGUUCAAAUGUGGCUCAAUUAAACAUCAAUUUUAAUUUUACCAAAUAAAUUCAAUUUUGAUAAAAUUGAACAAAUCUAAUAGUAGUAAAAUUAAAACCACACUAUAUAUAAUCCGUUCGGUUCAAUCCAUUUAAUAAAGUGAAAUAACAUACUCGUAUAUGUAAACUUUGGCGCUUAGUCUUGACAGAUAAAAGUAACAAGAUUAAUCUUUUGCUUAUUUUAAUGAAUUGAAAUUUUGAAUAUUUCAAAAAUUUUGAUUAUUUUUAUUAUUUAAAUUAAUUUUAUUUGAUUCAUAUCUUAUUAAAAAAAUAAAUUAAAAAAAGGUAUAAUAAUCAAGUUCAAUCGUACAAAGCAAAUGUCUUGUGCCCCUCUGAUCGAAGAAACACACACAAGAGAAAUUUAUUCCGAAAUCAUGCAUAUAUUGUGGCAGGCACAUAUCCGUCUCUAUAUAUGUAAGCAAUAUUCUUGAUUAGUGGAUAUGAAUAGUUGCACAUGAAGCCAACUAUUGUCUCUCAAAGUCAAAGCCAACAACAGCCAAACAAAAUUUUCGUCAAACCUAAACCAAUAAUCUCGCAAUAUUAACAACCAUUAAUUUAAAAAAUAAAAUAAAAAAUGGCAAAAAGAAGAAGCAAUUCUCUCAUUAGCUGACACCAAACCAGUGCAACACCGACUAUAAACCAGUGUCAUCAUAAUUGAUAAUGCUAUAAAAUAGGAGGAGAGAGAAAGAGGAGAGAGAAGCAGGGGAGGGUCUGCAAAGCAACCUCUCUUCUUUGGAUCUCUCAAUUGUUUUAAUAUAUCAUAGUUGAUUUCAAUAGGUACAGGUAUUUGAUUCAGGAGAGAAAAACAUAAAAAAAGAAAAGAAAAGAAAAAGUGGGUAUUUUCUAUUGUAAUUUGCUGGCCCAUUUUGUUUGUCUUAUAUGUUCUCAAUUUUCUUGAAAAGGUGAUUGAUUUAGGAUCCCUUUUUUGUGUAGUAGUCAAUUUUCUUUUUUCUUUUUAAUUCUUGGUUUGUUUCUUUGAGAAAAAAGUUAUGAGCCAAGUUCGUGCAAAUUCAUCUCCUGACUUGGAUUUUCCCAGUACAGGAAAGGAUCAAAGAUAUGAUGAUUUGGCAUUACAAGGUACAAAUCUUGAUUUUUCUUACGUUGUAGUAAAUGAAAUUUUUUAUUUUUGUUUCUCAAUUUGUUUCAUUAUAUGUCAUGUUGUAAAGUUAUGGCAAUUUCAAUUUGAGAUAUGGAAUUAUGUUGUUUUUAUUGUUCUUGCGCGCGCUCUCUCUCUUUAUCUCUCUGCAAAUCUUGAUGUACAACGUUGUAUUAGGCUUGAUUGUGUUGUUAUUUUGUUUUUCCUUAUUUUUUUUAUUUUUUUCAGACGUAGUAAUAAUCUUGAAUUCAUUUUUAAUUUGAUGUUGCAAAGUUGUGGGUAAUUUUAGUUUAAAUAAGCAAUUCUCUCGUAUUUUUUUGUUUUGCUAUGUUUUUGUUGUUCUCAAUCUAAUGAUAUCGGAAUGAAAUCUUGAUUCUUAGGGAGAAAAAAAAAAAGACAAUUCAUGAAAGUGAUGAACUAUUCAAGUGUUUGAUUGAUGGAUGUUAAAAAAAUUGAAUUGAUAUUUCAGGGGUAGCUGCAAAUGUAAAAUUACUGCUAAAACUAAUCCAAGAUCAUCAAUUAGCCUGUGAUCAUGACAAAAGUGAUCAUAGGAGAAUGUUGAGGGUAGCUACAAUGAUGACAAUUUUGGAUAAUGCGAAGGACAGAAUCCAGAAAUGCCAAUCAUUUGGCCUCAAGAAACCGGAUUCCGAGCUGAGGAGGUGCAACACCGACUUGCGCCGCAAUCCCGUCCCUCCGGGCAAAAAGCCCAGUGGUGGGGCGGGGGCGGUGGCCGUGGUGAUCGAGGAGGAGGAGGUGGACGAGGAGAAGGAGCGGUUGAGGCGCGAGCUGAGCUCGAGCAUAGCCGCUCAGAGAAACCUCAGAGCGAUGUGCUCGAGUUUAGGGAAGGAGAAGAAGUUCAUGGAGGCAGAGCUUUCCAAGAAAGUGCAUGAAUUGAGUGAGAUGGAGGAGCUUUUGAACAAUCUCAAGGCACAAAAUGAGACAUUGCGCCAAAAAGUUCAAGAAUGCCUCUCCGAUCACAAGGAGAGGAAGGCCGGUGGUGGUGGCGGAGAAAUGAGCGUGGCGUUGGUGUUGCAAGAGCGGAACAAGGCGCUCUCGGAGCAGUUGAUGAGGUCUCUUGAUGGUUAUAGAUCGAUGAAGAGGAAGCUCAAAGUGGCGCAAGAAGAGAAUACUAUGCUGCAUUCGACUGUGGAUGAGGUUGGGGCCAAAGUUGUGGGAAGUUUGGAGAGGGUUAAGAGUUUGAAGCAACGAGUGACCACGACGACAUCUCCUUCUGGGGGCGAAAUCCCCCUCGAUCUUCAGGAGGAGAUCGAGGGGUUAGAGGGCAUGUUUGAGUGCUUCCAAAUGUUGGUGGAGAAGCACGAGAAGAGGCGGGGCGACUGCGCGCAACCAAAUGGCGAGAUCAAUGCAUAUAAGCCCUCCGUUCUCGCAUGAGACUGGACCAAAGGAUUUUGGAGGGACUAACUUGAAUUUUUGUUGCUAGUAUUUUUGAUUUUUUGCUUUGGAUUAGUUUCUUUUUUGAUGCGAUGGCAUUGUUUGAAGAUGUGAUAUUGUCUUCAUUGUGUGUGAAAAAAAUAGCUGAUGAUUUCUAUAGGUCAUUAGCAUGUAAAUAGUUGUAUCAUAGUCUUCUUGUUUGAAGGCAACCUACAAAACAUUGGUUUUCUAGUAUAGAACAUUUUUAAGUGAAUGUGAUGCUAUGUUGCUGCUGGAAACUUUCGUGAUGAAAUAUUGCAAUCAUCAAGAAAAUCAUGUUUACGAUGUUUUAUGUAUUGGAGAUGCUCACUGAGUAAAUUAAUUUUAACAAAGAAAAGAGAGAAAAACAUCAAUGUUUAGAGUUUUUAUGUUUUUUUUAGUAAUUGAACGAGUUGCAUUGCUAUUCAAUCUAAUACUAUCUAAUUGGACAUCGAUAAAAAGAAUGCAUUUCAUGCGCAAGACAUUACUCACUAUAUAGAUUGGAGUUAAUCAUGAUUACUAGGAAUGACCAUUACCAAUAUAAAGUAGUGAAAACUAUCAAUCAAAGAGUUCCCAUUGGUUUGCAGAAGGAGAUGGUUCAAAUGUUUCCCAUGUAGUUGUCACAACCGAAGCUGGUACUUUCUGCUUCGCGUUUAGUACCUUCAGCACAUCCAGUUUUUCCACACACUUCUGCACUAUUUUUCCCUGCAAUAUAAUUAUUUUAUUUUAUUUUAAUUUAAUUUGCUCUUACCUUAUUUUUCAUAUAAAUCUGCAUUAGAGGUUUUUACAAUAAGAUAGUUAACUUUGUAAUUAAAAACCUAAAGUUUGUGCGAACUUAACUAUCAAAGUGUGACAAUCGAUAAAUAUAUAGGGGAUGGUCAAAACAUUAAUUCUUGCAUCAAAUGUCAACCGGAUAUAAUAAUAGGAAUGGUUACAGUUUAAUAGUAUUCAAACUAUGGACUAAUUGUGUAUAAUUUUAGUUAAAUAUUCCAACUAAUUGAUCUUGUAAUGAGAAUAUUCCAAACUAUACAUAAUUGUAAUUAAAUACUCGUACUAUCACAAAAUUAACAAAAAUACCCCAAAAUUCAAUCUUCAAUCACUUCACAGUUCGUUAGAUCAUGAUGUGGAUUUUAAAAAAUAAAUUAAAAAUGAGCUAGAUCAAAAGUCAAAACAACGUUACGCUGCUUUAGUGCAUAGAAGUUACAUAUAAAAGAAAUUGAACGAGCCAAGUAAUCUUUUCGCAACUGAAAAUUGAAUAUUUCUGUUAAUUUAUUUAGUGAUACUUUGGAUAUUUAAUACUGGUUAUGCUACGUUCAUAAAAAAUAUAAGAAUAAAGUGUGGUUUCGUGUCCUAAAACAAAAAACCAUAUACUCUUCCUAGAUAUCCAAUAAGGUAAUUGCGCCACACUAUUAAUGAACGAUGGAGUGAGUAAUAGUAAUUCAAGACAUUUUUGUGAAAAUAUCAAAAAAAUCGAAUACUACUUAACUACAUUAACGAGCAUGACAUUAUUGAAUACUUCAUCCAUCCCAUUUUAUUUGAUUUAGUUCUUUUGAAUACGAUUAUUUAAAAAAAUAAAAUUAUUAUAUGAAAAGUAUAUGAUUUAAUAGUAUUUAAUAUAAUAUUAAUUGAUUUUUUGAAAAAAAGAAAAAGAUAAAAUCAAACGAGACGGUUUAGAAAAAAAAAUAAGAAGUGUAAUUAAAUAGGAUGGACUAGGUAAGAAUUGAGAUGAAGAAAUGUAAAAGGAAGGGAUAAGGAUAAGCAUACUUGUGAGUCCUUGUAUGCACAUGCAUCAGCAGCCUCGGCAGCAGGAAUGUUAUCUAGUUUGACAGCUUGUUGCAUCAGCAUCUCGAUCAACGUUGUGAUCUGUAAUUCUGCUACUCUUUUCCCAUUUGCAAUUGAUUUCUCUAUUACACUUACCUAUAAUCCAAUGGAGAUAUCAAUUAUUUUAUUAAUUAAUGAUCUACAUGAUGGAUAUAUUUCUUCAAUGUACUAUAAAAGAUAAGGGGAAUAUUAUACUUUAUGACUUCAUCAUUUGGGUAAGUUUAAACAUAAUAUGACAUUUAACAUCUUUAAUAAAAUUAUACUAAUAAAGUCCUCAAUAAAACAUCAAGCGAUACGAACUUUUAUGUGUGAACAAUAAAAUUUAGGGUUCAAACUCCAUCGUUUCCCCUUCUCCAAGUAUAAAUAAAAUAAAAUUAUAAUAAUUAAUAAAACUCUAGUUUAAGUGAUAAAGUUGAGGUAUCAAAAUUUUCUUUUUGUAAAAAAUUAUUGAAUCAAGUUUCAUAAAUAUUGUGUAAAUUAUAUUUAUGGAUAGUAUUUUUAAGUAUUUAUUUAUUUAUUUAUUUAUUCUAGUUUAUACUAGUUUAAUUGUUGAUUUGACUACAGUACUAGCUUAUUCAAUUCAUUGUUAUUUAUAUUCAAUUUCAUAAUAUAAUAAUAUACUAUGUCAUUUUUGAAAAAAUGCCAAACUAGGAUUCAUAUAUUUUUUUAGAGUAAUGCUAAACAGCCACAUUAUGGCCACCCACAAUUUAUAUAAAUAAAAAAUAAUUUAAUUUAUUUAAUUUAUUUUUUUAAAGAAAAAUAAGAUUUAUUUUAUUAUAUUCUCUACACUGUAGUUAUUUUUUGCAAUUUUUUGGUAACUUUUUUAUUUUUAUUAAAAAAUAAAUUAAAUAAAUUAAGAUUUUUCUUAUUAUACUAGUGUGUGAGUGGCCAGAAUGUGGCUACAUAGAUUUAUUGAUUUUUUUAAUAGAUCAUUAAUUAUUUGUUAACUAAACCACCUAAAAGAAGCAUUUUCAUGAUUGAGAUGGAUUGAUUAUACUAUCAUCUUCUCUCUUUUUCGAUAAACAAAUAAUCUUAAAGAUCGUAUGACGAUUAGGUAUCACACACAAAGCUCUAAAUUUUCCUUCUUUUAAAAUUGCCGCCCCUGAAGAUCGCCUUCUCCGUCACCGCACAGUUGCAUCUAAAGGUCGCCGCCACCUUCAUCCACGAGGAAAGAAUGAUGACCUUCUGUAGAAACGAGGCCUUAAUAUGUGUGCCAACUGGGUCAUAAACCCUAAAAUUCCCAGAUCUAGCAACAACGAGGAAAGAGAGACAAGAUGUGGCGGGUAGAGAGAGGGGAGGUGGUGCAAAAGAAUAGAGGGAAAGAGAAGAGGUUGUGAUCGACUGUCGAUGCGGUGGUGGGAGGUGAGGCAUGAGAGAAAGGGAAGUUGGAAUGAGAGAUAGGAUAGGAUUUAGGUUUAAAUAUGUAACGUAAUUAAGUUCUAAUUAUAUCAGUAAAUAGACCAUUAUAUUUAGGACAAUACAAUAAAGAAUACAUGUUAUCAAUAUUGAGAUGAAGGGAACACUAUUUUAUCGUACACUGCUCUAGUUGUCAUUACGUGUAAAUUAAUUAAUUGUACUCUUGCUAUCAAGUUAGAAGAAAAACAAGUAUUUAUUUUCUCUGCAGGCCACAAGACUUCGAAACGGAUGUUAAGAAAUAAAUAUUUAUAUUAAAAUAGGAGUUUUUUUAGGAUAUAUUUAUCAAAAAAAGUGAGAGAAUUGAAGAUAUCUUUUUAAAAUGAGAAGAGGGAUAAUUAUGUGUGAACCACAAUAUCAUAUGAUAUAAAUAAUAAAUUAUGCAAGACUAUCUGUUAUGUAUUAAUUUUUCAUUUUAUAAAAUGACUUAUUAAAAUAAGACGUUUAAAUAAUAAAAUAUAGCCUAUUGUAUUGGUUUGGUCCAAAGAAUUAUAAAACUAGAUAGUCAAAACUCAAAAGUAAUAAACUAAAUUAGCCACCAAUUUAAUUAACAGCUGUUACAGGUUGUUUAAUUUAAUUUUACCAAACCGACCCUAUAUUAAAUCACUACAGUUGACAGCUAAACGUUGCAGUACUAAUAGCUUUGUCACCUACUACAGGUCCAUCUUUUUUCUAUUAUUAAAUAAAAAAAUAGUUAUACCAAAAUUCGAAAAAUGUCAGGUAUAAUCUAUGCUUUUUUGACAAUAAAUCUACCAGGACACAUUUAUUUGACAGAAAAACAAUAUUAAAUAAAAAUGUAAUUUUAGAAAAUUAAUUUAUCAGAAGAAAUAAUAGAUUUCUUAUGCUACAUUUGCAAAUAUCAAAAAAACUAUUAUGAUUCUAAUUUUUUAUUAAUUAAUUAAAUAUAAUUUAUCAAUAUAUAUAUAUAUAUAUAAUUAAAUUGUAAUUAAUUAGCAUGCAAUAAAAAAUUAGUAAAAUUAAAUUGAGAUUUGCUUAAUAAUAAUAAUAAUAAUAAUAAUAAUAAUAAUAAUAAUAAUAAUAAUAAUAAUAAUAAAUGUAUAAGAAACAACUUAAAACAACUAAAUAGAAACUAUAGUUUGUAUUUCAAAAAAGUAAUAAAAAUAAUAUUCAAGCAUGUAAGAAGAAUGUGAAAAAACAAAAAAGAAUACCUAAACUAUGUUAGGAAUAACAUUCUUAGAAAGUUGUAGUACUAUUUUUCCUCUUAUAAUGAUUCUUAUUAUUUCCAUUGUUUGAUAGAAAUCAACCAAACACAUGAAUUUAAAAUUAUGAAAUUAGAUUAAAUGCCAGAGUACAUGUCAAACAAACGAAUUUAUAUACUCACGAAGCUUAUUAUACAAAAAAAAUAAAAACAGAUUAACGAAAUUAUAUUUAUUAUUCAUUUACUUUCGAAUUACUAUCGUAUUUAUAGAACAUACUAUCGUAUAAAACAAAUUAACGAAAUUAUAUUGAACAUACUAUCAUAGAACAUGUCAACACACAUGACACAUCUACGUAUCAUUAUCAAUAAAAUAUAAUAGUAUUAAAUUUAUUUACUUUCGAAUUCCUAUCGAAUUCAUAGAACAUAAAUAUUUGUUUGCUAGUAUAGCAUCUACGAGACUUUAUUAAUGGAUAUUGCAUUCAUGCAACAUAAUGAAGGACAAAAUUGUAAAUUUAACUAACCUGCUCCACCAGCCUAUCGAUUUCCGUGGACACGUCGUCGAUCAGCCGUUGGAUCGUCUCGAUCUUGGCCUUCCGCCUCAUCUCGACCAUCCGCCGCUCCUUGCUCUCUGGAUCGUCGAUUAAGACGACUUUCGACCGAUCUUUGACCCCGCACGUGUCUAAAUAGUCGCCAUUUUCCCUCUCUUUCCCUCUGAAGAUCAGCCGCUGCUCCGCCGGCUGCAGCCCCGUCUCCGCCGUCAGCAGCGUCUUCAGCUCGCCUUUCCAAAUAAAAUUAAAAAUUCACCACAAUCAAACCAGAAAUUCAAUCCACAUUAUUAUUUUCUAUCACAAUUGAGAUAGAAAGAGAGAAUUAACCGAAAGUGGUUUGUGCAUUGACCGAGAUCUGACACAAAAUGGCGCCGUAUACCACUCUAAUGCGCAGAUUCGGCGUUGCGAGGUUUCCAGAAGCACUCUCGCUCCUCUUCUGCACCAGCAUUCCUCCCGGCCGCAUUUCCCACUCAACCGCCUCCGCCGCCGAAGAGGAGGACGAGGACGUCGUAGUAGCUGACUCCGCCGCCUCGCUGCGGCGGAACCUGCGCUUCAUCAUCUCCGGAAUCCUCAUGCAGAUAAAAGCACAGAAACUCGAAGAAAACUGAUCUGGAUCGAGCUUGUGUUGAUAAUGUGUGGUACCUCCACUCGAUCGAGGUAGAAGAUUACGAGGCGUAUGUUGGUGGAGCAGAAAUAACGAAAAUGGAUGGGAAUUGGAGCGAAUAGGAGAGCGCCACCAUUGAUGAAGAAAAACGGUUGAGUUGCAGUGACAGCUAAAGGAGGGUUGCCGACAAUUGAAGGGAAAUAUCGUUUUUCUGAAAAAAUAAUUGAAUGUGUAAUGUUGGUUGCUUUUGAUGGAGAUGAGGAUUUUGAAUGGGCCACUUGGACUCUUAUUAUUGGGGAUUCUUUUGGUGUAGGCCCAACCCAAACAUUUGUAUGUUUUUACUUUGUCGGUUUUUUUUUUAAAUAUUCAUUGAUGAAAGAUGGGAAAUAACUAAUUAUGCCGUGAAACUGCAAAAAUUUUAUAUAUGUCUUGCCUAAUUGUAGAGUGGUUCAUAUUCAAAUUAUUGUUAUACAAUUUAUAAAAUUAUUUGUCUAUUCAUGGGAAAAAAAAUUGUACUUAGUAUUUUCAGUACAAGUAGCUGGACUUGUAAUUUAGAUAACAAUUUUCUCUCAAAUAUGUUAUGGUCUAUUAGACAAUGCAUCAACGUUUAUUAUUAUAUUUUGGAAAUAAAAUAAAAUGAUGAACCCCAUCUUUGAAGGAGAUCAGGAGACAAAUUGUCAAACAUGCAGAAAUGAUUUAGGCUCUAAAACACUAUAUUUACAUUUCCAUCGUUAAAACGUAUCUCUUUAUAGUGAAAGCUAGUUUAGUGUAUUGCGAAUUAAAGCACAAAAUAAUUACAAAAAGUAAGAAAAACAUAUGAAAAUUAGUUACGGAUUUCACACUAUAGUUUUCAGAUACAAUUAUAGGAAAUAAUUAAUAUGGGUAUUUAUAAUGAAAAACAGCCCUAAAUUCGAUCCGGCCUAAAUUGAUACUCCCUCCGUCUUUAUAAAAAAUAUAAUAGACCCAAUCAAUCCCUAAUCGCUGCUAGUGUGACAGAAUCCACAGUACUUUCAAGCUUUAUAACUCGACAUAGCAUAAAAUAAAUUUACUUAGAAAUCAAUUUAGUGGAAGACUGUUAGAAAUGGAUAUUGGGCUCAUUCCUCCCUUAAAAGGCCUUGUAAGGGAGAGGGUUGCCUCACCAUAUAAAGUGGCUCAUGCCACUAUCUCCAAUCCAAUGUGGAACACUUCAAUACACCCCCCGCACGCGCAGCGUGGACUAUCCCAAACGCCAUCUGUUGACAACGAUAUUGGGGGGGCCCAUCAUUGGAUUGGGUUGGCUCUGAUACCAUGUUAAAAAUGAAUAUUGGGCUCAUUCCUCCCUUAAAAGGCCUUGUAAGGGAGAGGGUUGCCUCACCAUAUAAAGUGGCUCAUGCCACUAUCUCCAAUCCAAUGUGGAACACUUCAAUAAAGAUGAUCAUAUAAAUGUGUAAGUAUUAAUUGAUUGUUGAGAUCAAGCUGAUGCGCAUGCGACUAUAUAUGCUACUUUCUACUACCAGAUAAUAUAUAGCUUAAUUACUUGUUAUUUGCAUUCGAAGAUGAUUAUUUUGUUUUUCUUUACCUAUAUCUCGUAAUAUUAUAGUUAAUGAACUGAAAUUACAUGAACUGGAAUUUCUUUUUAUUUAUUUGAGUACCUACCUCAUAAAUAGUAGGUAUAACCGUAGAAGCAGCUAUAAUAAGAAACUUAUUGUCGAUAAGUACAUGAGCUGGCUCUUUAUGCGGUCAUUAGAUAUUUAGAUUGAAUUUUCAAUGCAACGUACAUUUUGAUUGAUAAAUUUAUAAAGAGAAAAUAAGCGAUUAUUAAAAAAAUCCUUUUUUUCCUCUCAUUUUUUACAAAAGAGAAUUUCACCUUUGAUUUCAUUUUCUUUUCACCAAAGAGCGAUAAUAUUAUCACACCAAAAAUGGAGGAAUAAUAUUAUCCCUUAUUGGAUUGAAAAUAUGGAAUGAGGAUGGUGAAAUUCUCUUUUGUUGAAAAUGAGGGAAAAGAAAGAAAAAAAUUUAAAGACAAUUUUUUGUUAUUCCUCAUUUUCUGAUCAUGAUAAAUUUAUCAAUUAAAGAGAACACUUCCUUAUUUGUAAAUGACUCAAGACGACGAGUAUAUGGAAAUAUAUCAUUUUAUAUCCCAAUAUUUAAACUUUUCUAUAAUAAAAUCUAAAUGUCAUUUUGUAUCUCAAUAUUGAAGUAUUGCAUCGACCAAAAGUUGUUCAUUGAUCAGUCUCACAGUAUAUCAGUUAAAGAUAUAAAAUAAAAGUAGACUGAGGCUUUGUUCUACAUUUAUUUUAAUGAGUAUCUUCACUUAAUCUUUCCAAUCAGUCUCUUCUGGUUCCACGCAUGUAUCACAACCAUGCUUAUCUUAUUCAACAAUCCAAAAGCCUUAAUAAUUUAUCCAAGCGUCUUCUCUCUUAAGAUUGGCAUGUAUCAUCACAAAAUUAUCUUGAGGCGCGGCGAGAAAAUACUUUGCCCAACAAUUUUAUCAUUUUAAGACAAUUCUCAUAUAUAUAUAUAUAUAUAUAUAUAUAUAUAUAUAUACUACUACGUUACUUACUUACGUUANACAAGAAAUUGAUUUUAAAUUAAAAUUUAUCUUUUUAAUAUAUAUUAUAAAUUAUAUAGAUCUUAUGAAUAGUUGUAUAUUCAAUUAGAAUUAGGAAUUCCGGCCUUAACUUCACAUAUAUACAUUGAUUCUCUGUUUAUGAGAAAAUUUCUAGAUAAUAGUACGCGAGUAAGGAUAAAAUACAGUAAAAUGAUUUGUCACUUGUGGAGAUAUUAAUCAAUCUGAUCAUUACAAUUAAUUUUUAAAUAUAAUUGCUCAUGCUUUAUUAAAAUACAGUAAAAUGAUUUGUCACUUGUGGAGAUAUUAAUCAAUCUGAUCAUUACAAUUAAUUUUAAAUAUAAUUGCUCAUGCUUUAUCAAUAUCACCAAACAUCUAAAAUAAAUAGGAAAUAUAUAUGUCGUGGAAAUUAGAUUUUAUUAAAGAACGAAAUUAGAGAUAUAUUACAGUUGAAGUCCUCAUCUUGAUUAUAUAUAUAUAUAUAGGGGGCCGCUCCAAUGAGACCCCCUAAUUUUAGUGAGAUCUAGGGCACGAUCUGGUGCGUUUAUUUUAUCAAUCCUAUGGCUGAUAUUGUAUCUGGAGGGUGAUUUUUUUUCGCAGGGUUCGAAUCCUGGAGGGAGCAGAAUAUUUUAAAUUUUGUUAUUCAUCAGUAUAUACUGCAUUUUUCAUCAGUAUAUACGGCCCUGUUCAUCAGUAUAUAUGUCUUAUUCAUUACGAAUUUUUAAUUUUUUUUUCAUCAGUAUAUAUAUCUUGUUCAUUAGAUAUACGUUUUGUUCAUUAGUAUUAUAUGUCUUAUUCAUUGUGCUCAUGUUACACGAAAAAUAGGGGGUUUCACUGGAGCGCGCUCCUAUAUAUAUAUAUGUGUGUGUGUGUGUGUGUCAGUAGGAGAGGGCUACAGUGAAAACACUUCUUAAAAUAUAAAUAUAAACGUUUUUUAAUGUACGGAUUUUAUUCAAUAGGGUUACGAAUUCAUCCAACAUGGUUACGAAUUGUGAAAGAUAAAUUUUUGCUACAUUUGGGAUUCGAACCCAGGACCACGAAUUCAUCCAACAAGGUUACGAAUCAACCGUAGAUCUUGAUGAUCUAAGGGCUGAAAAUUGUUUAUAUUUUAUAUUUUAAGAAGUGUUUUUAUUUUAGCUCUCCCCUAUGUCAAUAUAUAUUAUAUUAUAUUUUAGAUUAUAUAAACAAAAUAUUUAAUUUAUCUAUUAGGUAUGGUUGAAUCUUCAUCGGUUGUUCCAUCACUUGAUAUAUCACCUAGACUUUUCCCCGCAGCUUUGAGUGGCUUCCAUAAGCCAUGAUGUACUUUUUUAAUGGUGUGAGUUCCCCAUCCACGGGCACCAUGUACAAGAAAUCUAUUCUUAAAUAGGUCUCCAGGUUGCAUUCUAAUUUUUAAGGGAAAAUGAAAUUUAUAACUAUUGAUACACUUAGCCGGAAUUAUAAAUAAUCUUUUUGAGUGAAUCCAUAAAGUUAAUAAAAAUAAUUAAUAAUUUUGUUUUUAAAAAAUAGAAUAUUUAAUAUUUAUAUAAUACUUAAUCUCAUAAGAAAUUUGAUAAAACUAGUAAAAAUUCUAGCAGGCCCAAUUAAAUAAUAAAAGAAAUCGGCCCAUUAGAUAAACGAAUCAGCCCACUCAGAUUUAUUAAAGCCCAAAGGCCAAAACACAAAAGGAGCCUGAAUAGGAAAACCCUAAAAUAAUUAAAGAGAAAAUAUGAAUUAAAAGAAAAUAAAGCUUCCUCUCUCUCUCUCCUCGCACUCAUUAUUAGGGAUGACAAUGGGCUGGAUUUGGAUUAGAUCCUGCUUGGUUUAGAUCCAAAUUUUCUUACUUAGAUUCAGAUCCCGUCCAAAUUCAUUGUAUUUAAAAAAAUGAGAUCAAAGUUCAGAUCCAUCAAAUCCACAGGAUCCCGGGUCCAAACCCGAAAUCCAUAUGUUUUUUCUCUUCUAAAAUAAAUUCUAAAUUUACUGAAAACCAAAAUAAAUCAUAAUAAUUGUUUAGAGUUUCAACAAUUAUUCAAAAAUAAAUAAUUACGUCAUAAUCCAUUAAAAAAAGAUAUGAAAAAGCUCAUACAGCAAUAUACGGUAUAGUAUAUUGUAUGGCGAAAAAAUUUCAAUUUAUCGUACCGGUCCACCCAUAGGAAUAUCAAGGCUUUUGGGAAUAGAAAAAAGGGUAUUAUGCUGUUGGAUUCUUGAGUGAGAAGAAAAAACGUUUCAGCUUCUCCCACUGACACACACACACGUUCAAGGUUCAACUGCACACACCAUUAGGCACACAUUGAUCCCGUGCACUUGGGCUUGGGCCCAAAAUAACUCACAAGAAAAAUAUCUUUGGGGAAUGAGGCCCAACAAAAAAUAAAUAGUAUGUACAUAGAUAAAGAAUUAAAUAAAAUGGAAAAUACUUGUGAGAAUAUUUCUCAUAUACCUUACCAACGGAAUCAAGAUUUUUGAUCGAUCAAAAUAAUAGUAUUGAACUUCAAUUUAUGAAAUCUCUUUGAAAUAACAUAAUUUAUUAAAAAUCGGGCAUGUAUAUAUCAAUAGUAUACUAAUUAAGAAUCUUCUAUAUUUCUUAUGAAAAUGUUGGGUUUUUCGAAAAUGGAAAGAUUUAACAAAUUAGGAUUAGUAGUUAAUUAAGGAAUUAAGUGGGUUAUUGAAUGGCAAACUAAAGUAAAUAUUGAAGUCCAUGGAGGAUAUAAUUGUACAAAAGUGAAAUAUGACUUUUUUACGUGGACAANAAAAAAGGCAAAUAUAAUUCUUUUUCGUAGACGAAGGGAUUACUUGCUAAGAGCAUUUUGGUAAGUAAUGUUAGGAUUUAUAUACUCUUUAAGUUUUUGUUAAAAUCUAUAUAUAUAUUUCACUAAGCUAAAUGCUCCUUGUUUAUGAUGUCUCAUUCUAGUAUCUUUUAAGUAAAGAUGGUAUUAUCGAACUAAAAAUGAGAAGUAAAACGUAAACCAUGAUACUAAGAUUCGAAAUGAAACAAGAGAAACCCGAAGUGCAGCAAAAUACAUAGCAACCUAGCAUUGAACAAAAUGAGCGAGGUUUUGUUUGACAAAUAACAUGGACACAAAACACUCAAGUUUUUUAUCCAACAUUCACGUAACAUUGAUCGAAUAGAAGAUGUAACAACAGAGAAAUCCGAAUGCGCAGUUCUCUGAAGCUCAAGAAACAAAUUAAAAAAAGUGGACAAUAAAAAUUCCUAAUUAGAACAAGUUGAAGAGUUUCAUGUGAGCGUCAUGAGCAUCUGAUUGGCAUGCUCCUGCAACACGUUCCACGCUAGGUUAAUGUGCCGAUUCUCCGUGAGGGUGGCCCCGAUGGCGAAGCGGAUGACGUAGACUCCCCCGACGACGGCGUGCGUCAUGAAGACCUUGCCGGAGUCGUUGACCGACUCGAGCAGCUUGGCGGUGAGCUCGUUGGCCCCCUCGUCCCCGAAGGCACGAGCGGAGCUCGGGUAGGUCCCCAUCGGGGACACGCGGAACACGAUGGUCGAGAAGUUCCUAGGCACCACCACCUCGAACCUCGCGUCCUUCCUCACCAAACCCUCGAACUCCUUCGCCAUGCCUACGUGGCGGCGGAGGAAAUUCCGCAUGUUGGCCACGCCGUAGGUCCGGAGCACGAGCCAGAGCUUGAGCGAGCGAAAGCGCCGGUUGAGGCAGAUCUGCCAGUCUUUGUAGUCGACGACGCGCUUCGACUCGGACGCCUUGUUCCGGAGAUACUCCGGGUUGGUGGAGAGCGAGUCGUUGAGCGACGUCGGGUCCUUGACCCAGAGGCAGCAUGCGUCCAUGGUGGUGAAGAACCACUUGUGGGGGUUGAAGCUGAAGGAGUCGGUCCUCUCCACGCCGUCGAGGAAGUGCCGGAACUCCGGGCAGAUGCACGCGCUGCCGGCGUAGGCGGCGUCCACGUGGACCCAGAGCCCGUACUCCUUCGCCACAUCGCAGAGCGGGCCCAGGGGGUCCACGGCGGUGGACGACGUCGUGCCCACCGUGGGGCAUAGGAAGAGCGGGACCAGCCCGGCCUUGAGGUCCGCCUCGAUCGCCGCCCGGAGCCCGUCCGCCGUCAUGGCGAAGGCGUUCCGGGCCGUGGUCCCGACGGCCCGGAAAUUCUCGCGUUUGAUCCCGGCGAUCUGGGAGGCCUUCUGGAAGGCGGAGUGCGUCUGGUCGGAGGCGUAGACGACCAAUUUGGUGAUGUUUUCAAGGCCGAUUUUGUGCAGCAUCUUAUCUCGGGCGGCUACGACCGUGCAGAGUAUGGCCUCGCAGGUGGUGCCUUGGAUGACGCCGCCGCCGCCGCCGGCGAAGAGGAAUUCGUUGGGGAGCUGGAGCAUCUUCCCGAUCCAAUCCAUGACGAUGUUCUCGAGCUCGGUGGAGGCCGGGGAGGUGAUCCAGUUGAAUCCGGGGGUGUUGAAGGCGGUGCAGAGCAUUUCGCCGAGGAAUCCAGCGGUGCUCAUGUUGCUGGGGAAGUAGCCGUAGAAGUUGGGGCUUUGCCAGUGGGUGAGGCCCGGGAUAAUAUCAUUCCGCACGUCGCGGAGGAUGUCCUCAACGGCCUCCGGAUCCUGCGGGGCCGAAUCCGGGGUUCGUUUCUUCAGGUAUCCGGGCUCCACCUGGCUCCGGACCGGAUAAUUUUCCAUGUUUUUGUAGUAAUCGACGAUGAAAUCGACUACCAAAUGAGCGUGCCUUCUGAACUCUUCGGGCUCAAAAGCUUUCACGGAUGUAGGGAAGCCAUUUUCAGGCUCUUCUUCAGUACGUAGGCUGCCCAUGAUUGGAUUAGGCCCGGGAUAGAAGGCACGAUUUUCUUUUUUUAUCUUCUUCUUUAUUUUUUUUUAGAAGAAGAGACUUGUUUUUCUAAUUUUUUUUAUUUUUUUUUGGUGGGAAGAACAACAAGAGUUUACCUUCUACUACUUAAUCGAUAGUAUGGAUAGGAACUUGUGAAGUCGCCGCUUUAAUAGGGCUUGUGAAGAUGUUAUUGCAUGCGAGACCUUUUGUUUCGAGUAACCUUUCGUCUCGAGAUUCCAUAUUAAGAGUUAUGGUUUGCGGUUCAUAAAUGGAAAUCAAAUAUCGUAGCCGUAGGUGCAUCAAAUUAAUGUCAUGAUGUUUCUCAUUAACAUAAUAUACUAGCAUUUGCAACCCGUGCGAUGCACGGAAAACGUUUUUAUAUUUUUAUAUAUAUAAAUUAAUACCAACUCAAUAAUCAUAUUUAUAAAUAUAAGAAAAAAAAAUAAUUUUCACUUAAUAUAUUUGAGUUGAAUAUUUAAAAAAAUAAAAAAAUAAAGAAAAGUUCACAAUAAUAAAAAUUGAUAUUGUGAAAAGGCAUAAAUAAUAAGUAAAAAGAAUAAAAUAGAAAAAAUUGAUUUAUUCAAAAAAAGAGGAGAGAUGAGAGAGAAUUUUUAAAAAUCAUUAAUCUUUAAAUAAAUAUAACUCUCCGUUUUAAAUCAAAUAUUUACAUAAAAUAUAUCAAAUUAAUGCUCUUAUCAUGAUAUUUAAUUUGAUAUAUUUUAUAAACAAUUUUAAUUUCACAAUUUUAGAAAGAAAUAAUGUUAAAAAAAAUAAGAACACGGAGAAAAAAUUAUAUUGUACAAAUAAAACUUCAAUUUUUUAUAACUACAAAAUUGUCACUUAUUAAUUUUGAAAUCAAUUUGAAAUUGAAAAUUGUCUUCUUAAUAUAUUAUAAAUUAUUGUAUAAAUAUAAAUUUAUAAAUUAUUUAUAACCAAUGCCUUAUAAAUUGUGUAUAUAUACACAUAUAAACAUAUAAUUCAUUAUGGAAUUAUAAACGUGGGUUAUGCAAUUUUUCUUUUUAAACGUGGGGUGGUGUGCAUUUUUUUAAAAAUUAUGGGUUAUGCAAUUUUAAUUGAGUUAGUUACUUAAUUUUUGAAUAUAUACAAUAAGUCAUUAUUUUUGUAAGAAAUCACAAAAUUGCCAUCUAAUUCAAUUUGAAAUCAAUUUCUAAUUGAAAACUGCUGUUUUAAUAUAGUAUAGAUAGUACGUAAUCAAACACAUAUAUUUGACAAACUUAUAGAUUUUUUUUGGUAAGAAAAUACCAACUAUAUAGAAUAAUGAUCAGAUCAAAAUUAUCUUGACCUUUUCGAUUUUUUUCUAAGAAAUAUACCAAUUUUAGACCAAUUCUGAUUUUAACAUCAACUUUAAAAAAUGUCAUAAAAUAUAUGUAUCAAUUUAUCAAUUGUACUAAUUUUAACACGAGCUUUAGUUACCUUCAUAGAUACAAUUCGUGUUAAAAUUACUACAAUUUGAUUUGUGACAUUUGUCCACUUCAGAAUUUCGUCAUACCAAGUAAGCUUUAAUUUAGCCGGAAAUAGAAUAAGUGUUGAAUUACUACAAUCAAUAAGUUGGUGUAUUCUGACACAUUUUCUAAAGUUCAUGUUAAAAAUCUAAAUUGAUCCAAAGUUGGUGGAUUUAUAUGCCAAUAACCCCUUUUUUUAAAUACCAGUAUUUCCAUCCUUGAUUGUGGUUCUUCAAAUUCAAUGACUUAUAGCAAUAAUUUUUCAAUGAUAUUGGAUAAUUCAUUAUUAAUCAUGAUAUUUUGGAUAUUUAACUAAAUUGUAACGGAGUUGACGCUCAUAAAUUGUGACAGUUUAGUGUUUUGAAGAAGAGAGAAGAACAAACGAACUUGUAGAGCUCUAAUAAAAAAGAGAUGUUGGGAAAUUAAUAGAAAUGUCCUAUCCUUGUUUUGAUGAUUCCAAAACACUUAGUUUAUCUUCACUAGACUAGAGUAAUAAUGGACUCAAGUGUUAGAGUCCAUGUUUUUUGUUAGACUGAAGAUCGAAGACUGAAGACUGAAGUCAAAAGACUAAAGACUGAAGUCUGAAGACUGAAGAGCUGAAGAACUGAAGUCUGAAGACUAAAUUAAGUACUGAAGUAUGAAGACUGAAGUGUCGAAGACUAGAGACUAAAGUUCUUGUCAAAACUGAAGACCAAGACUCAAGACUGCUGACUCGCACUGAAGGACACGAAUACUGAUGUAUCAGUGUUAGGAAAACACUGAUACAUGCCACGUCGGAUAAAGCAGAGACUGAUACUGAAGUAAAGUAUCAGUUGAAACCUCGGACUUAUGUUCUCUGUCCCAAACUGAUUCUCAGUUUAAGGAUGUUUCAUUUGCUUUAAAAGAAGCUACGUGGAAAACAUGCACGUACAACCGCAUUUAAUGCGAAGAUCUGCAAAAUCAUCCUUCAGAAUAUAGAGUUUUCCCUUUUGUGCUGCUUUAUUCUGCAGUACCCUCACCUACUGAAGAAAGGACGGUACCUUCUUUCAGUUUAGAGAGGACGAAGACUGAGAAUCUGAGCCCAAAUUCAAAUCUGAGUAGGGCUAGGAAAUUCGGGAUCGGGUAUAGGGUACCCGAUUAUCCAACCCGAAAAAAUCGGGUAUCGGGUACCCUAUACCCGAAAAAUUCGGGAUCGGGUUCGGGAUCGGGUAUUUAGGGUAUGAAAAAAUCGGGUAUCGGGUAUACCCGAAAUACCCGAAUUGUCUAUUAAAUAUAUUUUAAACUAUUUAAUUAAAUUUAAUAUGAAAGUUAAAAUUAAAACUAAAGCCUAAAAACUAAGCUGCUCUGUUCCCAUUUUCAAUUCCCAAAUCCCAAAUCCCAAUCCCAAUCCGCCAGCCCUAGUCUGUACUCCCGCCCGGCCGCCCCCCACUCCAGAAAUCGUUCCCGUCUCCGGCGACCCAGCGGCGCCCCUCGCCCGCCCGCCGUUCUCCUCGGCCGUCGCCAGUGGGAAGCUCGCUCCCAGUCCCACCGCGACCCUCGCCCAGUCGCUCCGUCGUUCCGCCUCCGAGCUCCGACGACAGGUGAGCUUCUUCUUCUCCGACGACAGGUAAACCUCCGUCCACGCAGCGUCACGCCGUAGCUGAAUCUCCGACCCCGCAGCAGCACCGGCGCCACCUCCGCCCUUUUCUCCCGUUGUGCCUCGAUUACCUUUAGUUUUCCUUUUCUUAAAUAAUGGCACAUAUUUGUAAAUGGUUUGACUAUGUAUAAUCUUCAGUGAGAAUUAUUUUUCUAAAAUAUUUGUAUAGUUUUGAUUGUCGAGAUUUGGAGUCAAAGGCACCUCCUUUGGGAAUUGAUUUUCCAUUCUGCACACAUGUGUUAAGCUGCUCUGUUUUGUUAAUUUGGUGAAGCUGAUCGAUUACAGGUAUGUAUGUAAUUAAUUCAUUUCCUGGGGUGAUAUCAGUCGGGUAAUUUAGGGUACCCGAAUACCCGACUCGGGUACCCGAGUCGGGUAUUAGGGUACCCGAUUUUAGAAUCGGGUUCGGGUUCGGGGUCGGGUAGGAAUUUUGGAUGAAUUUCGGGUUCGGGUACCCGAUUUUUUCGGGUAGGGUACCUGAACCCGACCCGAUUCCCACCCCUAAAUCUGAGUCACAACGGCAGAAAACUGAAGACAGACCUCCUCCAAUGGAUCUUUCUCAGGACGCUGCCUAUAAAUAGAGCUCAACAAUCAACCUCAUACCUCAGCGAUUCAACGCACAAAGCUGAAACUCUGUCGAACUCAAGAGCCAGCUAACUCACUGCUAUCAAGUUUGAAUCGAAGAAGAGAGUACCCAUUGUUGCAACUAUCAGUCUAAAUUGAUAACAUACAUUCUCUUAGUUUUGUUAGGCAUAUACAUUCAAAUCAUUAGCCCAGCUAGAAACUGAUUACUGAGAUCAUGUUCUCAGUAAUCCUAGUUGGAAUUCGAACCCCUUUUCAAAAGAGACAAAAUAGCGUUUGAAAGAGUGUUCGAGAAAGUUGUCUAAACACUAGGUUGUUUAGCACCCGCAAGCUAAACGUGUGGUUUACUCAACACCAGUAAGCUAAUUAAGGAAGAGAAGUCCAACCCAGUGUGUUGGCACUGAAAAGAGUUUUUUAGUAGUAAGGUUUGCUGUGUACCCGUAAGCACGAGCCUAAUCGAUUGUCAGUGUGAUCUACUGACCGUGGACAUAAGAAUCAGUAUUCCGAACCACAUAAAAAUCAUUGUAUUCUUUAUGCUUUCAGUUUUUUUAGUUCUUAUAUAGCGCACUAUUUCUGACAUAUACUGAAUACUGGUAACCUAAAGGAUAAACCCUAAAACUGAUACUCUAUUUCAUUAAAUAAUCACAUAUAGCCUCUAUUGUAAUAUGAAAAUAUUUAUAGCCCCUUAUCAUAAUCUGAUUUAAAAAAAUACGUUUAUGCAUAUAAACCAUAUAAACAACUGUAUAGCCCCAACUCAAAAUUAUGUAAACCACAUGAAAUAAAUAAAAUUAAUAUUGUAUUCGACUUGUUUUAGAGUUCUAUGAUGCAAAUAUUGGAUGAAAAUUCUGAAAUCGAAGAUAAUAUAUUUUAGGUAUGUACAUAAUUUUACUCAAUCAAAUUUAGAAGAACACAGUUUCAAAAAAAAAUUAGAAGAACACGUAUGAUUUUAUUCUGUCAAAAGCAAUCGGAUGUUAAAUUUUAUGCAUGCAUUUUGUACUUGAGGCGGUGCCGCAAUUUUGUUGCUUUAAUAAGUUGCCGCCGUUGUUUUUGUUAGAUUAGUCAACCGCAUUUGUUGACAAUCAAAAAGUUAAGUUUCGCUUUUUAAAUAUAUCCAAGUUAUUAUGCAUGAGUUAGUAGCACUUGUUUAAUUUAGGAUGAACUGUAAUCGAUGUUCAUGAAAUUGCAUUAAUAGAUCCAAAUUUUCUUCUGCAAAAGCUCCUCACUUUUUAAGUAUAUCCAAGUUAUUAUGCAUGAGUUAGUAGCAUUUGUUUAAUUUAGGAUGAACUGUAAUCGAUGUUCAUGAAAUUGCAUUAAUAGAUCCAAAUUUUCUUAUGCAAAAGCUCCUCCAUCAUUGCCACCUACACCCAUCAGCCACUGUGUCUCUACCACCACCAUCUGUUGGAUUUUCUAUUAACUAAUAUGCAUAUUCCGGUAACUGUAGAAAUUGGAGCAUGAUCUGAUGAGGCAUACUUUUGCUAGAAUAUUCUUACCAUAUGUUUAAAAUUUAAUAUAAUUUGAAAGCUGUACAACAUAGAAAAAAAUAGUAAACUUUUGAUUAAUUAUUAUUAAUAUUUUAAAAAGGAGGUGUAAGGAGUAAGAGAGGGGCUAUAAAUAGAAUCACCCAUCACACUAUAAAGAUCAGCUGGGCCGCCCACUUAAAGCCCACAUCUAAAAGCCCAUUUAAACAAAAGAUCAGCUGAAUCACCUCUAAUUCCCCUACACCCUCGUCUGCAUCUCAAUUUCAGGUGCAUCUCAAUCCCUCGUCUCCUCCCUCAUCUGCAUCUCAAUUCCAGCCCCUCCUCCCUCGUCUGCAUCUUAAUUUCAGGUGCGUCUCAAUUUCAGUGUUCCGCUUUUCUCCGCGCUGCUUCCUGUCAUGGUGGCUCUCACCGCCUUCGCAGCCCUCUCAUCGACAUUCACUUCUCGGGCGACAUUUUCUGUUAUCCUUAGUUUCAUUCAAUUUUUUUCCCUUUUCUUUGUUUGGAAAACCAAACUUGUAUUGCUACUCACUUAGGUUUCUGACUUUUUAAAAUUGCUACUGACUUUGUUUGUAAUUGCUCACCCGAAGAUUAUUGUUGGGUAUCUUCGCCUAGCCGGAGGUUCACCUCUUGGUUACCGACCGUCCUGCCGCCUUCACACGUUGCUCAAGCAACAACAAAACUCUACACUCCGUGCUUCUUCCUUUUCCUUCUUCUUACACCUAAACCUGCAAAAUCAGAGGAAAUGCAAGUAAAAAAGAAAAAGAACAGAAUACAACAGGAAGAAGUAAAGAAAGACAGAGGUGGGAAAAAAGGUGUCUCAGGGACACAGGUGGCUCAGAUUUUUCCCACGGUAGGCUCGGCUCUUCCGGCAGCGUUAAUGAUCACGGCUCAAGGAAACAUGGAGAACUAAUCGGCACUCAAGUCUCGCUUUGCACAGCCACCAAAAUCCACAGUGUAUCACCAAACAGGAAUCCAAUUAACAGGAAUCCGGCGACACACGCAAUCAAUCGGAGCGAGGUUCACACACACAGUCACCAAUCAGGAAACCACGAACAGGAAUCCGGCGACCCUUCAGGAAGGAAUAGCAGAGCCCUCCGGUCAAACAGUGUGUGAAAAACUCUCUCUAAUGGAAAGCCAAUGCAGCGGGGAUUAAAAGGGUGGAGCAUUAAAGUCGAAGGUGGGGAAACGAGGAGACGGGGCGGUGGAAGGGCGGUGGAGAGGGGGAAGACAAAAAGGUUAGGAGGGGAGAGAGAGGAGCGGCGCAGGGGAGUGAUGAAAUGGGGGGGGCUGAUUUGGACUUAGGGUAUAAAGGGGAUGGGCUUGGGGCUUGGGGGGAAUUAAGUGAUAUUGGGCCAACACUCCACAUUCCACCUUUGGCACAAUGAUCAUUAAGUCACCAGGAAAGAGCCAGCCUUUGAAUCGAGCUUUAUCAUCACAGCCAUUUUUACAUCAUCCUGUCACAGAGACAAGAUAAUAGAGGGUGAGAAAAAUAUUAUGCAUAUUUAACUCAAUCUCUACACUAGAGACCAACCCAAGGGGAAAUCACCACAUUCUCAAACCAUAAGGUUAUCAUUGAAGACUCACAGACACAACAAAACACUCACACAUAGCAAGAACAAAGCAGAGAAGACGGUCGACAGAACAGAGCAGAGCACACAUAUGCGACGACAAAGCAGAGAACAGACUCAAAGCAAAGCAGAACAGAAACACAUAGUAGGGCAGGAAGGCCGACCAGGACAGAGCUAACGACAACAAACCAGAGCAGACCAGAGCUCAACAGAGCAGAGCGGAGCUCGCGACACAGAACUCAGACUACAGUCAGAGCCAGAGACAACACACAGAACACAGAGCAAGCAUACACACAGAGCACAGCUCAUGACGAAUGACAAGGGAAUGACGCAAAACAAACUCAGAGCAAAGCUCCAACAGACAGAGCAAAGCUCAGACACAACAGAAACACAAAAUGUCAUCCAAACUCUUUCUUAGUAAAUCCCUUAACAACAAGCCUAGUUUUAUAUCUCACAUUAUCAAUUUCAUGCUUGACUUUGAACAACCAUUUGCACUCAACAAUAGAACAUUCAUCAGGCUUUUCAAUAAGUAUCCAAGUUUCAUAAUUAUUAGUUUUAUUCAUAACAUGCUCACGUCCGGGCUCAUUAUGCAUGAUUGGUCCAUUCCCAACCACAGGGUUUACAUCCGAAUUGAAUUGGGGAUCCACCUUAAAAGGAGCAGUGGGGGUAAGCAUAAACUCAUCUCUUUCAUGAUCAAAGGAUUUCAGUUUCUCCACCUCACUUGGAGCAUCAGAUUGUGAGGAUUCAGUCAAACAUGGAAUGGUAAGUUCAUUAAACAUUACAUCCCUACUGAUGCAAGUUCUAAACCCAGGGAUAGACCUAUCCCUCACCAUAUAGCAGUUGAUCAUAAUGACAGAAAAGGCUCAAACUGCAGGCAGCAAAACUCAAGACAGCAGCCACACAGACACAAACAAAACAACAGUCAACAAGCAACAACCCAGAGCAGAGCUCAACAAACACCAGAGCUCACACAAAAAAUCCAGAUAAGCCCCUCUCUCCCUUGUUUUCCAGGAUACUCGCACGAGGAGACCCACAGGGGAAUCCAGACGAACUGGACCAAAACAAGGGAGAUCUCACUCGGCUUGGAAUGCCAAAGGUUUAUCGAGAUUUCAGACACCACGCGGAAGCACAAAAGAAAAACAGGAUCGCAAGAUACCAAGAUCUUCAACAAGCAAAACAUGCAAAACACAAACAACAACAACAACACCAACCCUAGAAGCUAGGAGUNUCCGAUCAAACAGUGUGUAAAACUCCCUGCAAUGGAAAGCAAUGCAGCGGGGAUUAAUAGGGGUGGAGAGGAGUAAAGGUUUUUGGGAACACAAGGAGUGGCAGCCAUUAAUGGUGGGGGAAGCUCGAGAGAACAGGAGAUCAGAGGUC